rnacentral:tRNA from 1 species
UCUAAAAUAGUUUAUUUAUAAAAUGUCAAUUUGUGGUUUUGGUGAAGGGUUAUUUUCUUUUAGGU